AAGUCCUGUGUGGUUCAAAUAUCGAGUCUUCAUUCCUGUCUUUCUUUCCGAACUUUUGGAUGAAGACAAAAUUAACCACCAUUGCACGUUUUUUAGUUACAACCUAACACACUAAACCAGUAGCAGAGUCAUUGCUGCGUAAUCUCUGUAAUAUUCCAAUCAGCGCUGUAUUCGGUUGUGCAGACUCUGGGUUCUCCCCUUCGAAGUCCAGCUAGAGCUAUAUUCGGUGGUGUAGACAGUAGAACAGGCAGCAUUCACUGUACUAAUUUCUCUAAACCCCUCGAUUAAGUGCCUUGAAAGAUUUGGCUUAGUGAGAAGGAACUCAUUCAGACUUCACAAUAUUCUAGGUUUGAGUUUCCAUUAUGACGAAGCAUUUGAGGACAAGCAUGAAUAAAAGAUGCACACCACUGGCAGAUGAAUCUAGAGAAUAACCCUUGACUCACGCCAUGCGCACCAGUGGAGAGGACAGUCUCGAAUCUUCUUAAGCAAACAAUGAAAGGACUGUAGGAGAUAUUUUUUUGUAUAGCACCACCAAUACAGCAUCGUUUCUUUAAUCGGAUGGAAAAAAUAACCGUGGCCGUUAGAUCAGCUUCCUCUAUUUUAAGUCUGUUGAAAUAAAAAUCGCUUGGUCAACACCAUUAUUUGACUGCAACUCUGAUAUUCUUAUCUGACCAGCAUGUAAACAAAUCUAAAAUACCUUAUUUAACAUCAACACGAAAGGAACAAGAAAAUGGGCUUGGUUUUGGGUCCUAGAAGCAGAGUCAUUUCGUCAAUGCUGCCACGCAAUCGUUGCGUGUAUGCCAAUUUCUACUGGCGUUUAGAAGGCGGCACAUCGUUAUAUAAUAUAAACACAUUCUGGACUGUUGGAAAAUGCCAGAGAAAGACUUAGAAGAAGUUUCUGUGUAAGUCCCUUGCAUUGGUUUUCUACAAGCAAUCCUCGAAAUAGCCAAACGAAACUAGAAAAGCGAUACAAUAGUAAGAAACAGAAGGGGCAUAAAUAACCAUCAAACUCUAUAAAUAGACCACCCAACUUCUCUGCCUUGUAAAAGUUGAAUGAAAGAUUUCAGGUGUUGUGUGUCGAAAUAGGAGAGAGACUCUGUUUUCUGAACUCUCUCCCACAAAGGCUUCUCUGGUUUGCUAUAAUCAUUCUUUCAACCAAACCAGACGACACCUGCGUGGGGGGGAGGUCCGAAAAUGUGGGCUCUUAAUUUCCUUACUUUCAUCUCCAGCCAACGCCUCAUAAUAUGAGAACACUUCAAAAGCUCUAAAAGCUGUAUAAGGCAGCACCAGGUAACUAUGUUUAUGUGAUUCAGCUACAAAAUUUCUUUGUCUAGUGAUUUGAUCAAGUGUAUAUUGCCUCAGUUGUUGAUUUAGGAAGAUUGAUCUUUAUAAUUGCAACAAGGAGGAGGACUGAAGAAAUUUAUGACUGAACCCAACUAAUUCUCUGGCUAGCUAAUCCAACCCCGACGGUUUCAACUUGCAAACUUCUUUGGCUACAUUUUUGUAAAGCCAAUUAACAACAUGAAACUUGGAUCAUGAUCAUCUGUUGAUGUGGUGCUUGUGCAAAAACACACAGAAGACAGCUAAUUAGAAGAAAUUAAUUUUAAUAUAUAUUUCAUGAUUAAAUUUUAAUUUUAAUUUAUUUUAUAUAUAUUUCAUUAACAUCAGGUAGACAGAGCGCAGCUUGUUCAAGUCCCUUUGUUGAUGAUUUACUAUUUAUGUUCUCUCUGUCAUCUGCUUUUUUAACAGUGUGCUUCAUUGUACAAAAACAGAUAUUAUCAACUGUGGUUGUAUAUAACUCAAAAAUUAAUAGCAAAAUCUGAGAAUACCUUAGUCCUCUUAUAACCGCAGACUCACUUCAUUUGAUCAGUCCGGUAAGUGGUAAGUAGCACCUUAGUAAUAACUUUGGGAUGUUUGGAUUGGAGUGUGUGGAUCACUCAUGAAAUACAUCACUAGUAGGAAAGAUUCUAACAAGUCAAGCCAUCCUGGGAGAUAUCCUAAGACACUUUUUCAUUGUUUGGUUGGUCUCCCUAAGGAGACUUCCCACCAUGUAUCGUCUCCAGGCCUAUGGCCUUAUUCCAUUAUUUGAGUGACCGGCUCUCCCAUGCUUUCUCAGCCAAGACACUUAUGGAGGUAUUGUAGGCUCUCCCUAGUGGAUUGUCACACAUCUUCAUUGCAAAGAUGACUUCAAACACAUGCUUGCAAGGUUAGUUCUCUCAACCAUAGUCUAUUUCCCAUGGUAGGAGCGAAAUAAUUGGAUAUUUCACCAACUAUGUAACUCUUGAAGGGUCAUCAUUACUAAUAUUUGUACUCUUAUUUGAGCUAAUAUUCAGGACAUAGUGUUGAGGUUUGAGAUUCCACCACUGCUUGGAGCCAUUUGACAUGUAUUUUGAUUUUCAUCUUUUGUAUUAAAUGUUAUCAUUGGUCUAAGACAGUUGUUAAUUGGUUGGACUCCUACUUUUUUAUUUCAACCUUGUUUUCUUAUUAGGGUUGAAAUUGAAAGGGGGAGUUUAUGAUUGUCGUUGUCAUUGGAUUGUUGAUUUAGGCAGACCCUCACUCUUGAUCUUCUAUUUCUCUUAUAUUGAAACAACAGUUGUAAAAGAAGAGGUUUUGAGUC